rnacentral:rRNA from 1 species
AACGAACGCUGGCGGCAGGCUUAACACAUGCAAGUCGAGCGCCCCGCAAGGGGAGCGGCAGACGGGUGAGUAACGCGUGGGAAUCUACCCAUCACUACGGAACAACUCCGGGAAACUGGAGCUAAUACCGUAUACGUCCUUCGGGAGAAAGAUUUAUCGGUGAUGGAUGAGCCCGCGUUGGAUUAGCUAGUUGGUGGGGUAAUGGCCCACCAAGGCGACGAUCCAUAGCUGGUCUGAGAGGAUGAUCAGCCACACUGGGACUGAGACACGGCCCAGACUCCUACGGGAGGCAGCAGUGGGGAAUAUUGGACAAUGGGCGCAAGCCUGAUCCAGCCAUGCCGCGUGAGUGAUGAAGGCCCUAGGGUUGUAAAGCUCUUUCACCGGUGAAGAUAAUGACGGUAACCGGAGAAGAAGCCCCGGCUAACUUCGUGCCAGCAGCCGCCGCAG